rnacentral:rRNA from 1 species
AGAGUUUGAUCCUGGCUCAGGAUGAACGCUUGCGGCGUGCCUAAUGCAUGCAAGUCGAACGGGAUCCCAUAGAUUCGUCUAAGGGUGAGAGUGGCGAACGGGUGAGUAACACGUUGGUGACCUGCCCCAGAGAGGGGGACAACCAGUGGAAACGCUGGCUAAUACCCCGGAUGUCAAGGUUUUUAGAAACCCUUGACUGAAGCUCCGGCGCUCUGGGAGGGGCCUGCGGUCCAUCAGCUUGUUGGUAGGGUAACGGCCUACCAAGGCGAAGACGGAUAGGGGGCGUGAGAGCGUGACCCCCCACACUGGUACUGACACACGGACCAGAUACCUGCGGGUAGCAGCAGCAAGGAAUAUUGCCCAAUGGACGAAAGUCUGAGGCAGCAACGCCGCGUGAAGGAAGAAGGCUUUCGGGUUGUAAACUUCUUUUUUGGGGGAAGAGAAAGGACGGUACCCCAAGAAUAAGAUCCGGCUAACUACGUGCCAGCAGCCGCGGUAAAACGUAGGGAUCGAGCGUUAUCCGGAUUUACUGGGCGUAAAGCGCGUGCAGGCGGUUUUCUAAGUCGGACGUGAAAGCUCCUGGCCCAACUGGGAGAGGCCGUUCGAAACUGGAAGACUUGAGGAUGGUAGGGGUAAGUGGAAUUCCCGGUGUAGUGGUGAAAUGCGUAGAUAUCGGGAGGAGCACCAGUGGCGAAGGCGGCUUACUGGGCCAUUCCUGACGCUGAGACGCGAAAGCUAGGGGAGAGAACGGGAUUAGAAACCCCGGUAUUCCUAGCCGUAAACGAUGUCAACUAGGUGUAGGGGGUAUCCAACCCCCCUGUGCUGUAGCUAACGCGUUAAGUUGACCGCCUGGGGACUACGGCCGCAAGGCUAAAACUCAAAGGAAUUGACGGGGACCCGCACAAGCAGCGGAGCGUGUGGUUUAAUUCGAGAUACGCGAAGAACCUUACCAGGGUUUGACAUGUACGUGGUAGGAAGGUGAAAGCCGACUGACCCUUCGGGGAGCGUACACAGGUGCUGCAUGGCUGUCGUCAGCUCGUGCCGUGAGGUGUUAGGUUAAGUCCUGUAACGAGCGCAACCCUCGUCGUUAGUUAUACGUGUCUAACGAGACUGCCGGUGAUAAGCCGGAGGAAGGUGGGGAUGACGUCAAGUCAGCAUGGCCUUUAUAUCCUGGGCUACACACACGCUACAAUGGCCGGUACAAUGGGUAGCCAAGCCGCGAGGCGGAGCCAAUCCUUCAAAGCCGGUCUCAGUUCGGAUUGUAGGCUGCAACUCGCCUGCAUGAAGUCGGAGUUGCUAGUAAACGCGCGUCAGCAACAGUGCGUUGAAUACGUUCCCGGGUCUUGUACACACCGCCCGUCACGUCAUGGAAGUUGGCGACGCCUGAAGUCAGUGAGCUAACCCUAACGGGAGGCAGCUGCCCAAGGCGGGGUCGGUAACUGGGACGAAGUCGUAACAAGGUA